AAAGUGAUCCAGACUCAUGGUGUUCAUUGGAAUCACCAUUUACACUAAAGUUGGGAUUCAACUGGAUUAACCUGAAUCGGUAAAUCCAGAAUCAGGGUGAUUCCACUUAUCGGGUUUUCGUAUCUGAACUUUCCCAUCUUUCGACGAGAGACGAACGCAGCCAAUGUGAGAUUUCCGAAAAACGAACGCAGGCAAGGUGAGAUUUCCCCUUCUUCUUCUUCUUCUUCCUUUGACGAGAGAGGAACGCAACCAAGGUGAGAUUUCUGAAAAACGAACGCAGGCAAGAUUUAUUUGUUGGCUUCGUCGAUCAACUGAAGAAAGGGGGUGUUUUCCAGAUUGUUUGAGUGCUUAUCCAUCCCAAGAGCUCUGAAAAGGGCAUGUAUACCAAAGAUUAUGCUGAGAAAAACAGAGGUUCUACUAGUGUAUAAGGUACCUAAAAUUGAAUUCAUAUGGUGUUGCUUUUACUAACUACAAGAGAGGUUCCCUUUUCCCUCUCUCAAAGCACUUUACAACAUCCUUCCUAAGUUCAUCGGGUAGCUGCAGGCAGAUCCAGUCCAGAAAAGACUCCAAAUCUUUUGCAAAGUCUAGUAGAUAACAGUCCCAUCCAUGUUUAAUUUGAUAACCUCUUCUUCUCACUUUGCCAUUUUAAUCCCUCAUUUCAAAAGUUUGUAUUUAUUAAGUAAAAAUAAAAUUCUUAAUCUAGACAAAGUCAUUUUUAUGUCGAAAUCCAAGACUUGAUUGAAUUUUUAUAUUAUUUCUUCUACUUUUGGUACAUUUGGAUUACUAUUUUUGUUUGAGAUUUGCUUUGAGAAGUAGAUAUUCUAAUAUUAAUAUGUUUAACGAUCUAACCUUGGUUGUAUUUCAUGUAAUUAUUUUAUUUAGUAGUUGAAACUGAGUCUUGGGCACUACUUGUGCACUUCUUCAAGCACAAUUUUUUGAGGUUUUAAGCUUUGUUCAUCUGGCAUGAUUUGGUGUCAGUUGAAAGGCUAUUCAACUAUAUUUCCAAUGAGACUAAUGUUGUAUGAAAUCCAUGGAUGGUGUGGAUGUUUUAUAUUUUUUAACAAUAAGUACUUUCAUUAAUCGACACAAUAGAAAGAAGCAUAUGGCACUUUUAACAGCAUGCACCAACCCAGAUGAUAAGGGGAGUUAUGGGGUGAAGAUUAUCAUCCUAUUAAUUUGUGAUGGUAUUUCUGUUUGUUAGGAGUUGUAAUUUAAAUGUAAGUUCGACAUAUAAAUUUGAAGUGUAAGAAAGCGGAAUUGUCAACAGAAUCGGUCUCUGCUGAUUCUGAUUCCAAUUCAACUGAAAUCAGGUGUUAUAGGGUGUUAUUUGAUUGGCUAAACAGUUUUACAAGGUGUUUGAAUACUGUCGAGAGUAGUAGUAUUUUUGGUGUAUGCUAUGAUAGGAUGGAUUUGGUAAUGGUUGAUUUGGGAGAGAGAAGGGUAUUCAUAAAGGGAGGGAUGGAGGCUUUGAAGGUUCUUCUUGUGUAGUUUUGAGAGAGAGGCUUGGUAGGCUUGGUACAAUUGGAUACAAGUGUCAGAACUCAGCCAUGAGAAAGAGAGGAUUGAUUCUCCUGGUCCUUCUAAUGGUGGAAUGCUAUUGGGGUAUGAAUUGCGAAGACAAGUGCGAAUUAUGGUCGAUAUUUUUGGUGUUGUCCACAAUCAAUUGGGGUUGAAAACAAAGGUUGUGGAAUGUUCGAAUGGAUAUCAAAUUCAAGCCCAAGCUGUCAUAGUUAUCAGACUCCACCUUGGUUCCAAUGCUCGGAAACCUCAACUGCAUCAUCGCCUUCCCCUUCAUCAGACUAUAUCAAAUGAUACUUGAACGGUGCAAUUAAAGAAUCGGAGGACCGUACGAGGAUGCUGAGGGAUGUUCUUGACGUAGUCAAGGCUGAUGUCAUUGUAAUGAUAUUGUAUUCAUUAUCAUUUGGUAGUACUUGGAUUGUAAUAGUUAAUUUAGAUUGAACUAUGUUUUUGGAUUAUUACAUGUUAGUACCUGCAUUGGACCAGUUUGUGUAA